rnacentral:tRNA from 1 species
GCCGAGGUGGCGGAACCGGUAGACGCGUGGGUCUCAAAAACCCAUGAGGCUCAAACCUCGUGAGGGUUCGAGUCCCUCUCUCGGCACGA